rnacentral:rRNA from 1 species
GACGAACGCUGGCGGCGUGCUUAACACAUGCAAGUCGAACGGUGAACCACUUCGGUGGGGAUCAGUGGCGAACGGGUGAGUAACACGUGGGCAACCUGCCCUUAGCUCUGGGAUAACCCCGGGAAACCGGGGCUAAUACCGGAUACGACCUCGAGCGGCAUCACUCGAGGUGGAAAGAACUUCGGCUAAGGAUGGGCCCGCGGCCUAUCAGCUUGUUGGUGGGGUAAUGGCCUACCAAGGCGACGACGGGAGCCGGCCUGAGAGGGCGACCGGCCACACUGGGACUGAGACACGGCCCAGACUCCUACGGGAGGCAGCAGUGGGGAAUAUUGCGCAAUGGGCGAAAGCCUGACGCAGCGACGCCGCGUGAGGGACGAAGGCCUUCGGUCGUAA